CCUACGGGAGGCAGCAGUGGGGAAUAUUGGACAAUGGGCGAAAGCCUGAUCCAGCCAUGCCGCGUGUGUGAAGAAGGUCUUCGGAUUGUAAAGCACUUUAAGUUGGGAGGAAGGGCAGUAAGUUAAUACCUUGCUGUUUUGACGUUACCGACAGAAUAAGCACCGGCUAACUUCGUGCCAGCAGGCGCGGUAAU
rnacentral:rRNA from 1 species